rnacentral:rRNA from 1 species
CAAUAGCGUAUAUUAAAGUUGUUGCAGUUAAAAAGCUCGUAGUUGGAUUUCUGGUCGGAGCGACCGGUCGGCGUCCUUUGUGGCGUGUGCACUGUUGUCGGCUCCGUCCAUCCUAGUGGGAAGGCGCGUUGGCAUUCAUUUGUCGGCGCGUGGCCCCGCUACGUUUACUGUGAAAAAAUUAGAGUGUUUAAAGCAGGCGUUCGCUGUGAAUACAUUAGCAUGGAAUAAUGAGAUAGGACUUUGGUACUAUUUUGUUGGUUUGCGCACCAAGGUAAUGAUUAAUAGGGAUAGUUGGGGGUAUUCAUAUUCAAUUGUCAGAGGUGGAAUUCUUGGAUUGUGUUGCGACGAACUACUGCGAAAGCAUUUGCCAAGGAUGUUUUCAUUGAUCAAGAACGAAAGUAAGGGGAUCGAAGAUGAUCAGAUACCAU